GGGCUGAAGCCUUUCCCUACUCUCGAGGUUUCUUUCUUCUGUAUUUCAGACUUUUGUCUCUUCCUGCUUGAGGGCUCAUUUCUCAGAAUCUUGUAGCCUGGAGCAGGUGCGGUUCCCGACCUUGAAGGUAAGUCACCUAUCCCUCAGAGCACAGUGUCUGCAUCUGUCACUGAGAACCCACUCCUUGCCCUGCCUUCCUCCCCAAGGUGUUAAUAAUUAUGGAGGGGCUCUACUGGGGGCCUCCUCCUACUCAUUUACCCAAGUAAGUGAGUGCACCAUUCCUACCUCCUCCUUUGGUGACUGUAAACUCAUGGAAUCUUGGGACCAUGGAGCAGAAACGCUUCUGAGGCCAUCUCUGCAACAGUCCUUUCUACCACAUUCUAACCAAGAAUGGAAAUCUGGAACUGAAGACCAGAGCAGAAGAUGACAGCGGAGACACAGUGGGCCUAUGACAAGACAGAAUAGUAGUGUCUCUGAACCUGCAGUAGUGUGGUAGUAGGUGUUUAACAACUAGCUUUGGUGUGACAGGAGCUAUGAUUGGUAAUAUUUGCUGAUUUCCAUGGUGUAAAUACUCCCAUCAUGGCCGAUUUCAAAUUACCAACAUGGACUUGAGAAGAGCUAGCACAUCAUUAUAUAAUAUUUCUAUCAUAUAGAUAUAACAGAUGUAAAUAGCCUUCAGAGUCUAGAUAAUAGUAAAAUGUAGUAAAAUAUUUAGGAAGUGAUGAAUUUUAAG
rnacentral:lncRNA from 1 species